GGUCGGAAGAACUAGAAAACUCAAAAGAUCGCCACUCUUUUAGUGAGUAAACUAGCAAAGGGAGAAUGUUGCACUAUGUUACCGAAAGAGUGGAUCAAAACUGCACUAAAACACAACACAAAAAAAAAUUUAAUCAGUUGAACGACAAGAUAAUCGAUAAAAAAAACUAAAGAAAGUUUAAACGGUAAGCAUAAGAAAAACCACGCACCUGGGGUGAAGAGAGAAAAAGGAGAGGACGAAGACAAUGACGUUAUGACAAAAUACAAUGCAAUGCCAAAAGAGAUAAAAAGUAGAGGUGCGCAAGGGAAUAAAAGAAGAGGAGAACCAGAGAAAAAGGAGAAGAGAUGAAGACGUGAUCAGAAACUGAGUGGUUAGAAGGGUCUGCGGUUUAUUUAAAAUGAAAUUGGGCGUCGGUUGCGCCAGAAGCCGAUGUCUAUAGACGUCAGUGUUUGAUCGGGAUCCGACGUCCAUUCUUCAUAAAGAAGCUGAAAAGAUUGACGCUUGAUUUCCUGUCAGGGUAAUUCACGUCGGUGCCCCUCCUAGUCGACGUCUAAAAUCGUCGAAUUUUGUGAA
rnacentral:lncRNA from 1 species